rnacentral:lncRNA from 1 species
ACUCACUCUGAGGUGGUCUCAACAUAGGUAAACUCAGCCAUCUAAUGUUUCUGGGCGUUAAGUCCCCAGGCAAGGAGAGAGGGAGGCCUCAGGGGAACCCAGCGCAGCCCCUGCCUUGCUCCCCGGACUUCCAGCCUCCAGAACCGUGAGAAAAUAAUCACGUGGUGUUUGCUCCUCCCAGUCGUGGAUGUUUUGUUACGGCAGCCCGAGCUGACUGUUGCAAGGUUCCAGGAGCCAUUGGAGGCAGCUGCCAGCUCUGUCAGCUCUGAGCCUGUGGGCAGCUGGCAGGGCUGGGUCCCUGCUGGAAUAUCAGCUCCAGGAGCACACGCUGGGCCGUCUUUUACCUGAUGCCGCUCUACCGGCUCCUCGCGGGCUAUGGGGCUUCUUCAGCAGACCCUCGUCCCGCUUAGGGGCUGGGGAGGUCAGUGAGGGUGAGGAGAGAGAACAGGGCGAGGUCAGGGCAUGGGAGGAAACCUGAGGGCAUUGCAGGGGAGUGUUUAAGAGCCUGGACGGGCCAGAGCCCGGCUCUCACAGUGAAUCCCGGGCCUCCUGUGGGUGCCCAAGAGCCCUUCGGGGUCCCACAGGGGCCUCCCCUUUCCACCUGCAAAUCUGCGUGAGGCUGGGUUUUCUAAAGACAAUUUAAC